rnacentral:rRNA from 1 species
AUUGAACGCUGGCGGCAUGCCUUACACAUGCAAGUCGAACGGUAACAGGUUAAGCUGACGAGUGGCGAACGGGUGAGUAAUAUAUCGGAACGUGCCCAGUCGUGGGGGAUAACGUAGCGAAAGCUACGCUAAUACCGCAUACGAUCUACGGAUGAAAGCGGGGGAUCGCAAGACCUCACGCGAUUGGAGCGGCCGAUAUCAGAUUAGGUUGUUGGUGAGGUAAAAGCUCACCAAGCCAGCGAUCUGUAGCUGGUCUGAGAGGACGACCAGCCAAACCGGAACUGAGACACGGUCCAGACUCCUACGGGAGGCAGCAGUGGGGAAUUUUGGACAAUGGACGCAAGUCUGAUCCAGCAAUGCCGCGUGCAGGACGAAGGCCUUCGGGUUGUAAACUGCUUUUGUACGGAACGAAACGGUGAGCUCUAAUACAGUUUGCUAAUGACGGUACCGUAAGAAUAAGCACCGGCUAACUACGUGCCAGCCGCCGCCGUAA